UACGUAGGGUGCGAGCGUUAAUCGGAAUUACUGGGCGUAAAGCGUGCGCAGGCGGUGAUGUAAGACAGUUGUGAAAUCCCCGGGCUCAACCUGGGAAUUGCAUCUGUGACUGCAUCGCUAGAGUACGGUAGAGGGGGAUGGAAUUCCGCGUGUAGCAGUGAAAUGCGUAGAUAUGCGGAGGAACACCGAUGGCGAAGGCAAUCCCCUGGACCUGUACCGACGCUCAUGCACGAAAGCGUGGGGAGCAAACAGG
rnacentral:rRNA from 1 species